UUACUCAGUUCAGAUUGCAGGCUGCAACCCGCCUGCAUGAAGUCGGAAUUGCUAGUAAUCGCGGAUCAGCAUGCCGCGGUGAAUACGUUCCCGGGCCUUGUACACACCGCCCGUCACACCAUGGGAGCCGGUAAUACCCGAAGUCAGUAGUCCAACCUCGUGAGGACGCUGCCGAAGGUAGGAUUGGCGACUGGGGUGAAGUCGUAACAAGGUAGC
rnacentral:rRNA from 1 species